GACGAACGCUGGCGGCGUGCUUAACACAUGCAAGUCGAACGGAAAGGCCCUGCUCUUGUGGGGUGCUCGAGUGGCGAACGGGUGAGUAACACGUGAGUAACCUGCCCUUGACUUUGGGGUAACUUCAGGGAACUGGGGAUAAUACCGGAUAGGAGCUCCUGCAGCAUGGUGGGGGUUGGAAAGUUUCGGCGGUUGGGGAUGGACUCGCGGCUUAUCAGCUUGUUGGUGGGGUAGUGGCUUACCAAGGCUUUGACGGGUAGCCGGCCUGAGAGGGUGACCGGCCACAUUAGGACUGAGAGACGGCCCAGACGCCAACGGGAGGCAACAGUGGGGAAUAUUGCACAGUGGGCGGGAGCCUGAUGCAGCAGCGCCGCGUGCGGGAUGACGGCCUUCGGGUUGUGAACCGCUUUCGCCUGUGACGAAGCGUGAGUGACGGUAAUGGGUAAAGAAGCACCGGCUAACUACGUG
rnacentral:rRNA from 1 species